UUAGCUGGUUGGUGAGGUAACGGCUCACCAAGGCAACGAUCAGUAGCCGACCUGAGAGGGUGAUCGGCCACAUUGGAACUGAGACACGGUCCAAACUCCUACGGGAGGCAGCAGUGGGGAAUAUUGCACAAUGGGCGGAAGCCUGAUGCAGCAACGCCGCGUGAGCGAGGAAGGCCCUUGGGUCGUAAAGCUCUGUCGGGAAGGAAGAUAAUGACGGUACUUCCCGAGGAAGCCCCGGCUAACUACGUGCCAGCAGCCGCGGUAAUACGUAGGGGGCGAGCGUUAUCCGGAAUUAUUGGGCGUAAAGGGUGCGUAGGCGGUUUCUUAAGCGUGGGGUGAAGGCCAUUGGCUUAACCAAUGUAAGCCCCGCGAACUGGGGAGCUUGAGUACAGGAGAGGAAAGCGGAAUUCCUAGUGUAGCGGUGAAAUGCGUAGAUAUUAGGAGGAACACCAGUGGCGAAGGCGGCUUUCUGGACUGUAACUGACGCUGAUGCACGAAAGCGUGGGGAGCAAACAGGAUUAGAUACCCUGGUAGUCCACGCCGUAAACGAUGAGCACUAGGUGUCGGGGUCGCAAGACUUCGGUGCCGCAGUUAAC
rnacentral:rRNA from 1 species